UUCCUUCAGUUCUAGCUCAAAGCUCACUAGUCUAAUCAGAUUCUUGACCAAAACUAAUGUGAAAAGAUUGUUUCCCAGUACAGAGGGAGGAAAAUGUAAUUCCAAGAUCAUUAUAGAAACAAAAGGAUUCAAUUCUUUUGGUGAUUUUCACCAGGAGGGCAACUCGGGACACAUUGCAGCUGUGCAUGCGUCACAUCGCAUUUUGUACAUAUCCAAGUGCUCAAGAAAGUAGUAUUUGACAUCACAAGAAAAGGAAAGUUCGAAUUGAAAUAUGGAAGUGAUUUCAGGGCUUAGGGAAAAUGUCUGUCACUGUGACCGUUCUGUGGACCACGAAGCCAUUAUUUCCAGUCUAAUAAAAGCCAACAGGUUGCCUGUUAAAGCCUGUAGACUGAUUUUCAUGCGAAGGGAGCGGGCCGCUUUUGCCGGGAAAAUCCAAAGGAUGUGACAUUUAUGCACGCUGCCGAGAGCCUUGCCUCAGUGCUUCCGCUAUUCAACAGUGACAACAAACUGCAACACUAGGUAACGUUAUCUUAGAGAUGGAAUCCAGCAAACAUCCGGCUCCCAGCACAACACCGACUCCUACACAAACUCAGAGAAAGCCACAAAAAAAAACAACAUUCCCGUCUGGCUAAGCCGAAACGUGAUCGUGGUCAAGCAAAAACUAGAGUGAACAUCGGCAGGACAUUUGAUUCCUGGAGGGACCUUCGUUCGGUUUUGGGGAUCAAAACCGACCCUGAAUUGGCGUUCUUUUAUUGGACACGUAAGCUUACAAAACUGCAAAGCAUGUGAACUAUAGUGCCAUAAGGACUGAUCUGUGUAUUUUAGCUAACUUGAUCUUGCCUGCUAACCCUGACGAAUUGCAAGCUACCUUCCUUCGUAACUUUGAAAUAAUUUCAAUGAUCUUCUCUUUAUACUAAAAGUCAGGUUAAUGUCAAUGCCAAUCUGUAAUUAUUCAGCAAGGUAAACUACAGUAAUACAUUAAAUGAAUGCUAGAUAAUGUUCAAGAUAAUGCAAAAAGCUCCAUUCAUUAGUGUAACGUAACUUAGUUAUACAGAAAAUAUAUACAUUCUAUUAUUAUAAAACAAUAGCGCAUCGAUAUAUCAAAAUGACAGUUGAAUUGUGUCAACGUAUUUAUAAUGUACAGUCUAUUUUAUAAACAGCUACUGUCAUCAUCCACCAAAUUUAGCUAACAGCUAUUAAUAAAGCUGGCUAGCUAGCUAACGUCGACAUAGGCUAUCGUAUAAAUGCCGUCAAUGUAUCAUGCAAAGAAAAGUGAUUACUUCAAACUACAGUCUCACAUAGUCAGACCUAUAUCCACACUUUGUUUUAGCCCUGUUCCAGCACUGGAGAGUCAAAUAUAACAUACAGUCUCAAAGUUUGUAGUAAAACAAUCAUAACUGUGUAUUUUAAUUAUGCUAACUCAUCUGUCACCAUCAAGCCAGUGAAUCACAUUCAGUCUCUUUAUUUUGUUCCCUGUGGAGUGCGCGCGAUCACGAGCUACAGGCUACAGUUCACUUAACGGCCACAGGUGUCAUUAAUAACAAGGGUUUCUGAAUCUUACAUACUGCACUUUUAAAAUGCAGAAAAUAGUAGUAAUAAAGAAUGAGUAGGUGUGUCCAAACAUUUGACUGGCUGUGUAUCACAGACAAAAGGGCAAUUCUUUGCUGUUUGGGUGAUGACAAGACACUAUGCAGUAGAUUCAAGUAUGAAUUUAAUUUCUUUCUUUACUGGUCUGACAACUUUAUUUGGAUUGUAUAUAAGCUACAAGGUUGGACUGAAAUUAGCCAAUGACUCAUCAAGCCCUUUUCUGGCAAGCUAUUAGAAAAUUCCAGUCAUUCUAGAGAGGAAAUAAACAUAUGUGUUCCUGACAUUAAACAGUGAAUUCCAUACUGGUCCAAAUCUCGAGUUCUCUUCAAUAUGUCAUGUGAAGAAGAGUAGCUAAUCAUGGGGACAUGUACUGUACUUCCUCAUGAAAUGAAAGAAUAAGAGCCAUUAUGAUGAUCUGGCAGAGGAUGAUGGCUGUCAUAGUAACACCCAGACCCAGACUAAUAUCAGACCUCUCAAGACCCAGACCUAGAUCAAUAACAGCCCCCCAAUACACAGACCAAUUCCAGACCUCCUAAGAUCCAGACCAAUACCAGUACUAGACCCUCUAAGACCCAGACCACAAUGAAUACUAGACCAAUACUAGACCUCCUAAGACCCAGACCUAAACCAAUACCAGACCCCCUAAGACCCAGAAUAAAAACAACACCAAACCCCCUAUGACCAAGACCAAUUCCAAACCUUUUAAGACCCAUCCCCAGACCAAUACCAGUCCCCCUAAGACCAAAACCAAUACAGACCUUCUAAGACCCAGACCAAUACCCCAGUGCCCCUCAGACCCAGAAUCAGAUCAAUCCCAGACCCUCUAAGACACAGACCCAAACCAAUACCAGAUCCCCCAAGACCCAGACCAAAACCAGACCACCUAAAACCCAGGCCUAGAUCAAUACCAGACCCCCUUAGACCCAGAUCAAUACCAGAACCUUUAAGACAAAAACCCAGACCAAUACCAGAUCCCACAAGUCCCAGACCAAUACCAGACCCCCAAAACCCAGACAUAAACCAAUCCCAGACCCCUUUAGACCCAGAUCAAUACCAGACCCUUUAAGACCCAGACCAGAUCCCCCAAGAACCAGACCUAGAUCAAUACCAGACCCCCUUAGACCCAAAUAAAUACCAGAUCCUUAAGACCCAGACCCAUACCAAUACCAGAUCUCCCCAAACCCAAACCAAUACCAGACCCCCAAAACCCAGACAAAUACCAGGCCCCCAAAACCCAGAGUGUGUUAGCGGGGGCGUGGUCAAGCGUCCGUCCGGAGAAAGCGGUAAGGGUGCUUGCAUCUGAGCUAGAUUAUGUUUAACACCUGUCUCUAAUUCCAGUGAGCAUGGGGAGAGCGGCAUAUAAGCAGCCACGCCACCAGCAGAGAGUAGAGAGAAUCUGGCACAAGGAAGGCCACGAUGCUCCUGAAGCUGAAGCUGUUAUGUUUAAUCUGUUAUAUUUGUGAAGCUGGUGUGUUUAAGUGACUACGUGCCUGUGAAGCUGAUGAGUUUGUGAAGUUGUAAAGCACUGAAGUGGCCGAUUAAAAGUCCUACCUGAGCCUGAAAAACCUGCUUCCCUGUGUUUUCCUUCCCUUCUGCUGUGAAGCUGUUCUACACAGACCAAGAUCAAUACCAAACCCCCUUAGACACAGACCAAUACCAGACCUUCUAAGACACAGACCAACAUCAGUACCCCUAAGACCCAGACUCAGAUCAGUACCAGACCCUCUAAGAACCAGGCCUAAACCAAUACCAGAUCCCCCAAGACCCAGAUUAAUACCAGACCCCCUUAAACCCAGAUCAA